CGCCACAAUCAGUCGCUAACUAGAACAAGCCGCCCCCUCGUGUCUCCUCUUUAAAAACAGCGCAAAGAGCCGUCCACCAAUAGCAGACGUCCUCCCGACUAGCAACAGGCGCCACAGCCAAUCAAGAAGGCACAGUAGACGUCCAAUCACAAUCUCUGAAAGGAGAAACAGGAAGUGCAAUCAGACCGCUGGAGCUUGUUGUUUAGGUAGUCUGUUAAACGGGCUUCUAUUGGUUGAAAUCUUGAUAGACAUCGUUACCAUUUUUUUUUUAGUUGCGCGGUUUCAAGUCGUAUGACUGCGCAUGCGCAUUGCGCCAUCGUGUGUCUAAGUAAUUUUUGCUGUCAGGGCGCUGCUCUGCAUGUGAUGUCUGUGCAUUUCGAUGAGAGGAGCGGGGUGGUGCCAUGCAAGACUCCCUGGGGUUGCUGGUACCAGACCAUGGAGGAGGUGUUCAUUGAAGUCCAGGUGCCCCCUGGUACACAGAGCCGAGAUAUCCGCUGUAAGCUGGGCAUCAGGGAGAUAGCACUGAAUGUGCGGGACACACACAUCCUACAGGGACGGCUGUAUGAUUCCACGAUAAGCGAUGAAAGCACUUGGACAUUAGG